rnacentral:misc_RNA from 1 species
AACGCACCUUGCGCUCCUUGGUAUUCCUUGGAGCAUGCCUGUUUGAGUAUCAUGAAAUCUUCAAAGUAAAUCUUUUGUUAAUUCAAUUGGGUUCUACUUUGGUAUUGGAGGGUUUUGCAGCUUCACACCUGCUCCUCUUUGUGCAUUAGCUGGAUCUCAGUGUUAUGCUUGGUUCCACUCGGCGUGAUAAGUAUCUAUCGCUGAGGACACCCGUGACAAGGUGGCCAAGGUAAACGCAGAUGAACUGCUUCCAAUAGUCCAUUGACUUGGACAAUAUAUAUAUUAUGAUCUGAUCUCAAAUCAGGUAGGACUACCCGCUGAACUUAA